AGAGAAAAGUGGUGAGUACGUGUUCCGCUCUUUCCCUUCUCCCCUCCGCUCGCGUCGCACCUCUCCGCAGCUUUACCGCUCUCUUCCCUUCCAUCAUCCGCGUCGUGCACCACUUCCCUCAUUUUCCGUGCGGCAGUAGAAAAUGUUCCGCUUCUGUGGUCGUCGCCUGGUGGCGCGUACGCUGCCCCUGCUUGCCGAUUACCAAGAGAUGCCGGAGGCAUUCGAGUUCAUGGAGCACAAGGUUGUGGAUAAGGAUAUCCACUCCGCCUACGAGAACAUGGAAACGCUGCGCCUCACCGUCACCCGCCAGGACGAGUUCCUCUUCAAGGAGGCGCCGGUGAAGUGCGUCACAAUCGUGGGCGUCAACGGCGAGUGCGGUGUGUACCCCGGCCACGCGUACGAAAUCACGCAGCUCACCCCCGCGCCACUGACGGUAGAGAUGCCAGAUGGCACGGUGAAGAAGUACUUUACGAGCGGCGGCUUCGCCCACAUCAACAACGAAGGCUCCUGCGAUAUUAACUGCGUGGAGUGCAUCCCGCUCACGGAGCUCGACGUCGAUGCCGCGGAGAAGGCGCUCGCGCAGCAGCAAUCGGCUUUGAAUAGCGCCCAUGAUGACAAGGCGAGGGCGGUAAUUGAGAUUCGAAUCGGCGUGCUCGAGUCGGUCAUCCAGAGCCUCAAGCACGCGUAAGCUGUGAAGAUUCUACGGCAUCGUGCACCGCAUCCGACCCAGUCGCAAGUGCGCUGCCACGUGGGGCACAAAAGGGGGGGGGGGAGAGUAUCGAUGAGACCGCGCCUGCUUUCGUCGCCGAAUCACUCACACGGUACAUGCUGGUGUCUUCGUUCUCUUCUCCGCGAGCACCCACUAACGAAUGGUUUUCUUCACGCCCGCAUCCCUUUUCUCCUCCUCAUCCGAGCGGUGCCUUGGGGCCGGCACGCGGCACACAUUUCGGCGCAUUACGUUUCUUUUGAACCACGUCGCUUGCGAGGUUCUGAG
rnacentral:misc_RNA from 1 species